rnacentral:rRNA from 1 species
CCCUCCGAAGUUUCCCUCAGGAUAGCUGGUGCAUUUUAAAAUUAUGUAAAAUAAUCUUAUCUGGUAAAGCGAAUGAUUAGAGGCCUUAGGGUCGAAACGAUCUUAACCUAUUCUCAAACUUUAAAUGGGUAAGAACCUCACCUUUCUUGAUAUGAAGGUUGAGGUUAUGAUAUAAUGUGCCCAGUGGGCCACUUUUGGUAAGCAGAACUGGCGCUGUGGGAUGAACCNAACGUAAUGUUACGGUGCCUAAAUUAACAACUCAUGCAGAUACCAUGAAAGGCGUUGGUUGCUUAAAACAGCAGGACGGUGGACAUGGAAGUCGUAAUCCGCUAAGGAGUGUGUAACAACUCACCUGCCGAAGCAACUAGCCCUUAAAAUGGAUGGCGCUUAAGUUGUAUACCUAUACAUUACCGCUAAAGUACAUGAUUUAUAUGAAAUUUUUGAUUUUAUAUAAAUUUUGAAACUUUAGUGAGUAGGAGGGUACAAUGGUGUGCUUAGAAGUGUUUGGCGUAAGCCUGCAUGGAGCCGCCAUUGGUACAGAUCUUGGUGGUAGUAGCAAAUAAUCGAAUGAGACCUUGGAGGAC